AUGAAGUAGCACUAGAUGCUGUUGAUUAGGACACCUGUUUCUUAAAGCCCUGCUGGGGCGUGGAAGCCAUUUGCUCCUGUUGUGUUUCCAAGCCUAAGAAGAUCCACGACUUGUGUGAGUGGGUACUUGAAGUGGGUGCUUUCAGCAUAGAAACCUAUUUCCUCAUUAUGGGUCACGGAUAAUAAAUUUGGGAAUGCUGUUGAGAGUGGAGAAUGCAGAGGGAAAGGCUUUUAGUAAAACCAAGAGUUGGCUUGAAGAUCAGAAGGCUUCUCAGAAGGAGAAACAGGAUGUCAGAGCAAGCCGAAGGCAAACUUCCAAGUGAUGAGAUUUCUCCCUUCCCUGCUGCUAUCAGAGCUGCAUUCUGGAGGUGCUGCCUGAGAAGAUCUCAGUGGAAACGUAAUCAAGUCAUUCCAGACUUCAAGUAGAAUGAAGAAGAAGAAAUGAGAAAUCUAGUCUUCUAACCUGGGGAACAGCACCUGAGUUAUGAGGGAUUAGAAUAUUUGUGAAGAGAAGAAACAAACAAAUUUAGAGCCAAACACUGCGCAGUUUCACGAACUCUACGAGAGUCAGUGCCAGUGCAACGAUGCUCCUUUUGAUGGCUUGGAACUGGAGCACUACUAUCCCAUUUCCUCAGAAUACGAAUUUAUGGCAGCAUCAACUAUAGUUGCCUGAAUAUUUGAUUAAAAAAUUAAAGGGAGAAUUAACAAUUGCAACUUGGAGGUGAUCUUCAAAUUCUCAGGACUUCAGCUCUUGCAUUUGAACUUCGAACUGUGGAUCCUGAAGUAAAUUGCUGCCAGGUAACUGCUAAGUAGUGUCCAGCAGGUACUUCUCAGAUGCAUCUUGUUUAUGUACUAUUUAUAUCCUUUUGUAAUUAAACAUAGAAUUAAAAAUGGAAUGAUGUAGUUAUGCCUAUAGUUGGCCUGUUCUGGGCACAUGCUAUUACUGCUCUUUCCUUUGCUGUUCGUUCAUUCUCCUUCUUAACCUUUUUAUAAAUUCUGCCUGGAUUCAGAUCUCCGAAUUUGCUGUCCACGUAAAAGUUGGUACCAGAUCAGAAUUUAAGCAAGGGAGCCUGUGAAUAUGGAAUCUAUUUGGUGAAUAAAUUUCAGUUUUCAGUAAUUUCUUUAAUAAUUAGGAGGAAUAGUUAUUGUCUCUUUAAGGGCAUGUAAUUUGUAAUGUAUUUAUUUACUCUUUUGCUUAAUAUUUAUACCAUAAUUAAGUAAAAGAAGUUGAGGGCAUUCUAGGCAGAAGUGAGUUCUUGCACUUGUGCUAAGGAAACUCCCUUGGACUUGCUACAAUGCAGCCAAGGGGGAUGGCUUCCAGAAUGACCCAAGUUACAUUAUUAGAUGUGAGAUGGCACAAGUCUGGUGCCCUCUUCCCUUUCGAAGACUGUUGAAAGCACCUGGAGUGUCUUGUGGCACUUUGCCCCUUCAUCUCACUUUAAGAUAAAAUAUUCCUUUUCAAAAUGUCUUCUUAGCACUCAGCAGCUGUCAUCAUUAUUCCUUUUUUGUUUAUUAGGAGCGGAUUAUUCUAUUUACUAAAGGAGAUGUAAAGGUUGACACUCAUUUUAACUGUUUAGACAAUAAAUAUUGAACUUUCUGUUUUGCAUACAUGAGAUAACUAAAUGAGGCUGUGUUUUCAAGACAGGGAGAAGUAGGAGGCUUCCAUUUCCCUUCUGACUGCUUCUUUAGCAGUGUUAUUUCUUUUCAGUUAAACAAACAAAAAAUGCAAGCGAGAAAAACAACUACAGCGAAUAACACCCCAAACAUCACCUCACUUAUUUGUACCUGCUGUUGCUUGCCAUCAUUUUUAGUCUGUCAAUACGUAUAGAAAAUCAGGAAGUAGUCCUCCUCUUACUGCGAGAGUUCCUGCAUGUACCCAUUUCCCAGGGUCAUCAAAAAGAAUCCUCUUGUGUGAGUAAGGCUUGUAUUUAGUGAGUAUGAAUCUUCAUCAUAACCUUAUUACUUCCUGAAUUGUUUUUCAGUUGGUUGUUAUCCAUUAAUUUUGACAUUGUUUCUCAAGUCUUUUGAAUCUGCUUGUGGGAGGCCUCUGGUUUUGUUUUUGCCCGUCUCAUUUUUCACUCAGAAAUAGAAUGUGCCCUUUCUAGACUUCUAGAUGUAGUAGGGUUAGAAUAAAAGCAUCUGAAGGGAAUACACUCUGUGUAGGAAGAGCAGUUAAACUUCUACAUUAGGCUGGUUUUGGCAGCAGGAGAACCAUUUAAAUUGUUUUUGCUACUCCAUUUUCUUAUUAUGCCUCAUUUGGUGCCAGUUUGUUUGCUUCAUCUUUCAGAUUAUCUUGAAUUCUUUUUUUCCUGUUUACCAGCUGAACACGUUUCUUUGCAAAUAGAAUAUUCUUGCACUCAUGUCAAUGACUCUUGAAUUUUCAAAGUGCCUAUUAGAAGUUGCUUUCAGCUUAAGAGGUCACAACAAUAUCACAGAUGCACAGAUUGCUACCCGAUUAAUACAAUUAUCAACAUGCAGAAAUUAUGAGUUGAGUGUUUGCAUUUGAAUAUAGCUUUUAUUUUAAUGCACAGUUUGAAAAGCUUAUUUUAAGGAGGCAAGUUUGAAUUGGAAAUGUUUCCAAGAAAUGAUUUAUGUCUUUUGUGUGGAUCAAAGCAGCAGAAACCAUUUAACAAUUUGUCUGUCUUUAAUGAAAUCUAAUGGAUUUUCUGCAUUUCUCUAAAUACAAUAAGUUGACAUAAGUCUAUUAUUUGUUUUUAAUGCUGUAAAAGCUGGUGUUAUAUUACUUAGUGUUUUUAAAACUUCAACAAUAAAGAUUUUUAUUAUGUUACAUAUACAAGCAAUUAUAUUUGACAGUUUGGAUGCAAACUUGAAUUGGCAGCCACUUUAGUAUUCUCACCAAGAAAAACAUUAGGCUUGUCUAUUAAAUAUGUUUCUUCUGUAAUUUAUUUUUCAUAAGGUUCAGCGUUGUCACAGAAGCCUCUUGUCUCUUUUGUAGCUAACUUUCUGCAGACUUCUUUAAACUUAAGUGGAGGAACACCUUUUUGGGUUAGCUUGCCCCAAGAGAAAGCUCAAGUUCCAUUGAUAUCAGGAAAGAGCUAGAAUUGGACAGGAGCUUUGUGAAGAUCUGUACCAUGUAUUAAAAAUUUGAUAUAAAAAAGCAUAAUGUAGUCCUAAUGGAAGAAUUUGAGCUCUCUAUAGCUGUGCCAAUGGAAACCUGCUCCGUUCUUUCUUUCUGCUUCUUGAGUGAAGUGACUCUAACAGCCAGUUUGGCAGGGUUGUGGUUAAGCAGUUCAAUAAAUUUAUUUUUCCGUGUUUCAUUUGUUUACUGCUGUCUAACAAUGAAAGUGGGAGAUAUAGAAGGAGAUGUUCCCAGCAGUGUCACAGAGGUUGGAACUAGGUGAUCUUCAGGGUCCCUUCCAACCCAUCCUAUGCCAUUCUAUGAUUCUAGUGUAGGAAACAUUUAUUCCAAUACUUUGUGGAACAAUGUAAAGUUCAGUGUGCAACCAGCUUAUAUACGCAAGUAUGUAAUGAUGAUCUAAAUGUUACU